UAUUAAAAAUUUCAUUAAUUUUUAUUGUUAAAAAUUAACGCGACUAAUAAAAUAAUUAUAUAGUCACGCGUGGUGUGCUAUGUGUUCUUCAUUUUAAUGCAUAAGAUCAAUUUUUAACAAUAAAAAUAGAUACAAUUUUUAACA
rfam:Gossypium raimondii Chr06_contig_828, whole genome shotgun sequence.